UACACAGCAGCUGUUGCUCCAACCCUUCCGUUUGCAUUAACCCUUGUUUUCAGCAGUCGAUGGACACGACCCACUGGGAACUACAUUGAGAAUAUACAAAACAAUAAGAAGAUGGACACGACCCACUGGGAACUACAUUGAGAAUAUACAAAACAAUAAGAAGCAACUGAUUAUAAUUUAGAAGAAUUAACUGUUGUUCUACAGGAGUGCAAAGUAGAAUAGCAUAGUCAGUUUAUCAUGUGUCCUACAGAUGAUGAUGCUAAUAUGCCUUGACCACGUAUAGAACUGCAAAACAAUUUAGGAUGCAGAAUACAGUCUUAAUAGACAUCCACGUCGUGUUCUUCAUCAACUUGGUCAUCUUCCAAAUUGCAAAGAUUUUACAUAACAAAAUUUUAAUUUAAAUAUGUCCACAGAAUGAAGCAUCAUGUAGGUUUAACAGGAAAAGUGCUAGCAAGUCACAUGAGGAUAAAUUUCAAUUCAACCAUUAGAUCUAUAAAAAAAGAGAAAAUAAACGGAUAGUUAAUAAUUACAACAAUUAAAAGAGAUAAAUACUGCUAGAUAUCAAUUCCUUAUUAAAACAACAUAUCCCGAAAUGUUGUCAUUUGACUUGGAGCAAGAGUUACUAUCCAGCUCUUCUCAUAGACCAUAUUUCUGACUCUCAACCCUCCUCCCCAAAACCUUCCCCAGCUCCUUGGAACAAGAAAAUUACAUACAAACCUUAGAUGCUAUGAAAAUUAAUACAUUAGAUGAAAAGGCAGAACCAGAUUUAUCAACAGGAACAUAUUGCCCCCACUCUACACCCCACCUUUUCCCCCUUGGUUUUUCGCCCUCAUCAUGGAAAUAGCAAUUAAUAAGGCAGAAUUCUAGACCAUAGUUGUUCAUAGAACACCUAAGUGUCCCCUUUGCAACAACUAAUAUCAUGAAACAUAUAAAUCCUCUGAUAAAUGAAAGAUAACCAACAAAGAGCACAAUUGUUCAUAUCAACAAUUCAAACAUCGGGAGAGACAAGGACUACCUAAUGUGGCAUCCCUUGCAACAAAGCUACAAGGUUCAUUUAUAAGGACGAUUUACCAUUGGAAAAAAAUAAGGACAACCAAUGCGAAAUUGUUCAUAAAUACAAUUUUUUUACUUUAACAUAGCAAAACUUUGUUUACUUUGAUUUGAUGUAAUAAAUAGACAAAUCCAC
rnacentral:lncRNA from 1 species